rnacentral:rRNA from 1 species
UUAGGGGGGGGAACCGAAGAACCUUACCUGGUUUUGACAUCCACAGAACUUUCCAGAGAUGGAUUGGUGCCUUUGGGAACUGUGAGACAGGUGGGGCAUGGCUGUUGUCAACUUGUGUUGUGAAAUGUUGGGUUAAGUUCCGCAACGAGCGCAACCCUUAUCUUUUGUUGCCAGCGGUUCGGCCGGGAACUCAAAGGAGACUGCCGGUGAUAAACCGGAGGAAGGUGGGGAUGACGUCAAGUCAUCAUGGCCCUUACGACCAGGGCUACACACGUGCUACAAUGGCGCAUACAAAGAGAAGCGAUCUCGCGAGAGCAAGCGGACCUCAUAAAGUGCGUCGUAGUUCGGAUUGGAGUCUGCAACUCGACUCCAUGAAGUCUGGAAUCGCUAGUAUUCGUGGAUCAGCAGACGUCCGC